GUGGCCCGGGCCGGGUGAUGGCCGCAGCUCAUCUAACCCUAUUUGGGUUGGGCGUAGGCGCGGGGCUUUUGUUCUCCGCGCGCUGUUUUUCUCGCUGGCUUUCAGCGGGCGGAAAAGCCUCGGCCUACUGCCGUCCACCAUCCAGUUUAGAGAGAAAAAAAAAAAAUGUCAGCGGCUGGUUAUCACCCCUCCCGGGAGCCUGCGCUGCUCGCCCGCUUAGCCCCCGCGCCCCGCCUGGAGGCCGCGGUCGGCCUGGGGCUUCUCCGGAGGUGCCCGCUGCCGCCGCGAAGAGUUGGGCUCUGUCAGCCGCGGGUGUCCGGGGGCCAAGGGCUCGGCUCUUCACGCAGGGAGAGUAACGGAGCGGGUCCCCGCGCGUGCACCUCCCUGAGCUGUGGGACUUGCAUCGGGGCUGGGCUCCGACACGU
ensembl:misc_RNA Telomerase-vert Vertebrate telomerase RNA